rnacentral:rRNA from 1 species
ACGCUCGACACCUACGGGAGGCGAGCAGGUAGGGGAAUAUUGCACAAUGGGGGAAACCCUGAUGCAGCGACGCCGCGUGGAGGAAGAAGGUCUUCGGAUUGUAAACUCCUGUUGUUGGGGAAAAAGAGGAUGGUACCCAACAAGGAAGUGACGGCUAACUACGUGCCAGAAGCCGCGGUAAUCUGAGCGGGCUGGCAAGGC